UGUGUACGAUAUAUGUUGAUAACGUUUUAUUAAAGGGACAUCUUUUUUCCGCAGCCCUUCCUGACAUGUUUGGGGAAUGUGGGUUGGAGUUUAUUACACUGAUUACAAAAUGCAAGGUGACUUCUUGGGCACAGUUUUUGUUCCUGGUGCAUAACAAGAUGUUUUGUGUUUGAGGCGUCUGCCUUCUUUUCCUGGGCCUGCAAAUUCUGUGUUCUUGUGGAGUCGCGAUGGCCUUGGCGGAAGGUGGGUUGGGAGGGAAGAGGGUCCAAGCAAAGGGCAGGCUCAGCCCAUGUUUAUAAAGCCCUUAGGGGACCAGAUAGCAAAUUCCCAGGUUUAAAUCUUGUUUGCUGCAACUUGCUGUGUGGCCUUGGGCAAAUUAGUUGAUACUUC
rnacentral:lncRNA from 1 species